AAAAAAAAAAGAACACUUUAAAAAAAAAAGAAGUGAUAUGAAUGUAGGAACAGAAUUAAAUCUUUCUUUCCCAAGUUGGUCUUGGUCAUGGUGUUUCAUCAUAGCAAUAGAAACUCUAACUAGAAAAGGAAGAUUAUAGUUUCAAAAUAAGGGUCUUAACAAAAAUGGUCUGAUAACCAAACUCAAACUUUUGGUUCUCAGGAGUUCUUGUGCUCUCAGUGAAGUAUUUCCUCUGACCUUGUGCUCUCCUGAAUUAGAUUCUUCUUUUAUGAAGCUGAAACUGAAGUGCUGAAGUAACACUGGGCAUCUUCAUAUUGUUUUGAAGAGAACUAAUUCUUUUGCAUUGUUUUAAAAUAUUUACUAUAGAGAAUAAACACGUACCUUCUAAUGAGGAGAAAAAAGUUAACCUCAGGCAUAGUCGAUUCUGGACCACAUGAAUCUAUGCUUCCCAAUGGGAGGGGUUUUCAGAUAAAGCAUUCUUAUCAUUCUUAGCAUACGGAGAGACAAGGAGUUGUGUGAGCAUCUCUGUGUGGUUGGCAAGGGACAACUGAAUUCAUCCAGAUAAGAAAUAAAUGCAAGCAUGCAUGUAAUAUUCUCUUAGCAGACCUUAGUUGUUGUUUAUAGAAGGAGUUUUCACUUCUUAUGGCUGCAAAUAGUCCUCAGUAACUGACAAUUGAAAUCCUAUAAAUACUAUAUAGAAAAGCCUAUGGCCUAUAUUCAUAUUUCCAACAUAAUAUUUAGCUAUAAACAUGUAGGCAAGUAUUCAAUAGUUUAGUGAUCUUUAGUUAAUUAUUAAUAUAUUUAUUUUUUACCUUUUCAAUUAACAGUAAUGUUUAAAAAACAAUUGAAAACAAUAUGAUGCUUUAGUACAUUUAUAUACUAUGUGCAUAUCACUUAUAAUAAUUCCUCAUGCUUUUUUUAUAUACUUAUCCCCAAUUCCCACCAUCUCUCCUUCUCUUCCUUCUCUCUAGUCUUUGGUGAUAAGUGUUCAUAUCUUCUCUGUUUUGUGAGCACAUUCCUAGUUGCCAUAUAUGAAGGAAAGCAUUAGAUUUUCCUUCAUAUUUCUACUUUAUUUUGUUUAGGUAAAGUGAGUUCAUCUUUCUAAUCCCACUCUGUGUUAAAUCUCAGGAUAUUAGUCUUUUCUACAUGUAUAUAGUAUUCCGUUUUGAGUACAUAGCACCUUUUCUUUUUUUUUUCUUUCUUUUCCCGUUUUUAUUGGGUAUUUUAUUUAUUUACAUUUCAACUGUUUUUCCCUUUCUAGGGCUUCCCUUCAGAAACCCCUUAUCCCAUCUCCCCUCCCCCUGUCUCUAUGACAGUGCUCACCCACCCACCUACCCACUCCCAUCUUCCCACCCUGGCAUUCCCCUACUCUGGGACAUCAAAAACCCUCAGAUCCAAAGGCCUCUUCUCCCACUGAUGUCCAACAAGGUCAUUGUCUGUCACAAAUGCGGCCGGAUCCGUGGGUCCCUCCAUGUGUACUCUUUGGUUGGUGGUACAGUCCCCGAGAACUUCAGGGGGUCUGGCCUGUUGACUCUGUUGCUCCCCACCUCUUCUUUAAGGCCUUCAUCCAUCACUGAAUGAGUAUGUCAAUUCUCUAGCUUGGCUACAGUGACUCAUGCUAUGAGAAAGUAAAGUUGUUUUUUUAUGUGAUAAUUUUAUUUCCUUUGGAAAUACAGAGCUAUCAGUACCAUGUGGCUUUUGAUGAAUCUUCUUACUGUUCUUUUUAAUGACUUAAUAAUUUUCACUUUCACUAACAGUGCUCAAGAAUUCCCAUUUCUCUGGAUCCUUGGCAGCAUUUCUUAUUUUGGGAAUUUUCAAACCAUAGCUGUUCUAACAGGGUAACGUGGUGUCUGCUGGUGGUUCUAACUGGCGACUCUUUGAAAGGUAGUCAUCAUUAUUUGUCAUAUACUUUCAUUUUGUCUUACUGUAAUUAUUUCUAAAAGCAGUGUAUAUUUCCUUGCCUUUCUAAAAAUGUUCUGCUUAUGUAUUCCUGUCUAUGGUCUACAAUGAAUUCAUUCUGAAUAAAGGAUAGUAAAUGGGUUGAAGAAGACAAUGGUAUCGAAGCAGAGUAUCCAGACUUGAUUUCUUGCUCUUUUGUUCAACACACCAUUUGAAAAUGCAGGUAAUUUAUUCCACCAUAGGUCAGUUUACUCAGGUCUAAAAGAGGGCGUCAAUGGUACUUCAUGCUGCCUCAUUGAUUAAAUGAAAAAGCAGAUAUACAUUGAGAGGUACAUAUCAGUAACUAAUAAACUGCAGUGAUAGAAUUAGUGUGUUGUAAAAUUCUGUCUUCAGGACAACUGGAAUGCUAGUGUUUUUUCCAAUACGGAAGAACUACUUUAGUGCUCUUUUGUCUACUUUUAGUGGCUCACACAUCACUACUGAAAGAGUAUUUGUAACCUUAGUUCUAUUUUGCUUUGGCCUUUUUCCCUCUUCUUGUACUUUUGGUGGAAGUAUUUAGUUUUAUGGUUGGCACUUCUUGUAUGAUCAAUGAAUUAUAUUCCUUUCAUAAUCAUCUCAUAUCAUGAAUAAUGAUAUGGUACUAAUUAUGAUUUUUUUCUGUCUUGAGUGAUUUUGUUUAGGGACUUUGUCUAUCUUCUUAUUAUUUUAGAUGUCAGAAACUACUAUAAGUUGGUAAUGCAAUCCAGGGUUACUUUCCGAUAUAAUUUUUCAGACUUACCAAAGCUUUCCAGGCUAUACAUAAGAGAAAACCUAACUGUGUAAUGAGAAAAAGCAGAUACAGUGGCUUUGAGUGGAGACACAUGCUCACUUUUCCUGGAACUGUCUGUAGCUCUGUUUUCACUUUGGAGAUCUGUGCUUGGGGUUUGCCUCUGUGUCCCUGUCCCCUGAUAACUAAAGAAAUUUGCUGUUGCUUGAAUUCCAUAUUUUAUAUUCUUACCAUUUUUAUUAAGACAGAACUCACCAGGGCUUCCAUUUGUUUCUAUAGGCAUAUGUUCUCCAGUAGCAUGUAAUACUAUUUUGCAAACUGACAGGGAUAAGAUGAAUUUGAAGGAAUCAGGAUGGUAUCCAGUGGUGAAGGAUGAAGUGAUGAGUGAAGCUUCUCAUGGCUAUGUCUGUCCUGGGAAGUUCUGCCCAUCCUCAUGCGUGGCUCUGCCUGUCACAGGACUGUGUGCUCACCCUCAUGCAUGGCUCUGUCCUGGCACUGUCUGCUCAUCCUCAUCUGUGGCUCUGUCUCAUCAUCUUCAUCACUCCGCCUACUUCUGGUGCCCACCCAGCUGACUCCCAUCAAGGGUCUUCUCUGUUCACAAACACAUGGAUGCUCUUUGGAAGUUGAUGACCUUCCAGCUUUAUCAGUCAUCAUAAAUACACCAGAAAAAUGACAUUUCUAGAAUAUGUUCCAAAAUUUCUUCGAUAGUAUUAAUAACAAAGAGUAUGGACAAGAAAUUCAGCAACUAUUUUCUCAUAAAAUUUACUCCUCUACUACUAAACAAGCUACUAUCCAGACAUCUUAGUAUAACCGAUUCACCUCUGACUGGUAGAACAAUUCCCUUGCAAAUUUUUCAAUAUGACAUAAAGAAAUAUAUGCUUGAAUAAAAUAAAUUGUAGUAUUUUUGACAUUUAGAUACUUUGAGGAGAGAUAUUAAGAUACAUUUUCAUUCCAUUUGAUGCUGCUCCAUACAGUCUAUAUUUUUGUUAUGGAUUUGAUCUUUUCUACUUUGGUCAAGUUUUUAUUUCAAAUUUUGUAUCUAACAUAAGUUAUAUUGCUCUAGUUACAUAUUUGCACAUUUUUUGUCUAACAAUAAAUCUAGAUACACGUGUAAAAAUCACAGAUAGAUAAGAACUAUACUAAAACUCUCAGUAACAUAUGAGAGCAUAAGAAAUCACAUCCAACAAUAUGAGUUUUUCUAAUAUAUAUUGUGAAUUUUUAAAUAGUAUUGUAGAGUAUACUUUUCUCUAGAAUUCUCAAUCAUAUCACAGUGAUAUGUUUCCCAUCAUGCUAAUUUUAGGAGGAUGAAUUUGCUUAUAAUGAUGGGAGAUAUUUAAUUUCAGUGUCCCAAUGUAUGACUCAUGAUAUCAAAGCAGAUAAGUAAAGGGAAUUUGCACCGUUUUCUAUCUUAGGAUAAAUGUGUUAGUUCUUCUUACAGGGAGCAAUUUAUCAAGGUAAGCUCCUGACAUCCAGGGUGGGAACAUCAGUAGACUUCAAUAGUUUCGAAGUUAGCUGUGUGGGGAGUAGACCUUUUCUUUAUUGUCAUAGUGUUCUUAGGACUUAGCUGUGAACCUCCUAUAAAAGAGGUUAUGGGGCUUUUUGUUUUUGUACUUUUAUCUGAAAGAUUUCUUUCUUUAUGUUUAGUAAUGUUGCUCACUCAAAAACACUUAUUCUUUGACAAAUAU
rnacentral:lncRNA from 1 species